AUUGAACGCUGGCGGCAGGCCUAACACAUGCAAGUCGAACGAGUGGCGGGCGGGUGAGUAAUGCAUGGGAAUCUGGCUUAUGGAGGGGGAUAAUGACUGGACACUGUCGCUAAUUCCGCGUAGCAUAGGAUGAGCCCACGUGGGAUUAGGUAGUUGGUGGGGUAAAGGCUUACCAAGCCGACGAUCUCUACCUGGUCUGUGAGGAUGAACAGCCACACCGGGACUGAGACACGGCCCGGAUUCCUACGGGAGGCAGCAGUGGGGAAUAUUGCGCAAUGGGGGCAAGCCUGAUGCAGCCAUGCCGCGUGUAUGAAGAAGGCCUUCGGGUUGUAAAGUUCUUUCGGUUGGGAGGCGUUAAUCACAGAAUAAGCACCGGCUAACUCCGUGCCAGCCGCCGCGGUAAUUC
rnacentral:rRNA from 1 species